rnacentral:rRNA from 1 species
UAAGGAAUAUUGGUCAAUGGACGCAAGUCUGAACCAGCCAUGCCGCGUGGAGGAUGAAGGUCCUCUGGAUUGUAAACUUCUUUUAUCUGGGACGAAACACUUCUUUUCUAAGAGGCCUGACGGUACCAGAUGAAUAAGCACCGGCUAACUCCGUGCCAGCAGCCGCGGUAAUACGGAGGGUGCAAGCGUUAUCCGGAUUCACUGGGUUUAAAGGGUGCGUAGGUGGGUAUGUAAGUCAGUGGUGAAAUCCCCGAGCUUAACUUGGGAACUGCCAUUGAUACUAUAUAUCUUGAAUACCGUAGAGGUAAGCGGAAUAUGUCAUGUAGCGGUGAAAUGCUUAGAUAUGACAUGGAACACCAAUUUCGAAGGCAGCUUACUAUGCGGUGAUUGACACUGAGGCACGAAAGCGUGGGUA